rnacentral:rRNA from 1 species
GCGUUAAUCGGAAUUACUGGGCGUAAAGCGUGCGUAGGCGGUUUGUUAAGUCCGAUGUGAAAGCCCUGGGCUCAACCUGGGAAUGGCAUUGGAAACUGGCGAGCUAGAGUGAGGUAGAGGAGUGCGGAAUUCCUGGUGUAGCGGUGAAAUGCGUAGAGAUCAGGAGGAACAUCCGUGGCGAAGGCGGCACUCUGGACCAUCACUGACGCUGAGGCACGAAAGCGUG